AUUUUGGAUCUUUGUGGAGUUUGUUUAAAUUGGUUUCUUAUGUGAAAACAGAGAUGCAAACAUAUUGUUCAUCACUUAUUGGAGACAAAAAUGGGACGAUGGCAAAUUUUACAAAGGUGGCGCAKGUGUUCCUUCAUCUUUAUCUAGCUUUUACAAACUGUUUCAUUCAUCUUUUUCUAGCUUUCCAUCUUGGUAGCAUUUCUUMUUUUUCCAUGUAGUGGAUAGAUCUUUAUUUUCAUCUGGUGUUUAAUCACUCAUAAAUUUUUGAAAAAGGUUUAGGCUUKAAUCGUAUACAUGAUGGUUCRAGUAUUGAGGUUUAAGUUUUGUUUUUUAUACUUUGAUUAAGAUGCACGAUCARURAUUUUAGUAAUUGUUUUUGGAGUUUCAAAUCGAAUAUGUUUGGAUGAUGCUUAUUCUUUGAAGCUUAAAUACAAGAUCCAUUUUUCUCAUGAAGCUUAAAUACGCUGUUGUGAAGCUUAAAUACAAGAUGCUUAAGGCAACUUUCUAGGCAUCUUUAUAUACUUCAAAUACUCAUACACACUACUUAUUCACUUCGUUUCCAUCUUGCUAUCCUCUUUCCAAUGAUCUUGGUCUUUAUAUGCUUGAUUGUCAAUUAUGUCRCAUUAUGUAUGCCUUUUCURGAAAUUGCAUUAUUAUGUAGAUAUUCAAUGAGAUCACUCYGUUCAUGGACAACUGAUAUAUCCCAUGAUUUAAGAUACUUCCAGAUUCAGGAACCAACUGGAUUGACUAUUCUCUGCACCUUCAAGUAUGGAAGUGCUGGAAUGGGCCUAGAAGAACAUCAAUAAUGUGUUGUUUUAGUUUCCGCUACCCUUCCAAACGAAAUAUUGGAGAUUACCAGCAAAUUCAUGACUGAUCCUGUUUGAAUCCUUGUAAAAGGUGAUGAAUUGACUCUUGAGGUUGAUGCAUUUUAUGUGACAGUCUAUGGGGGCUACCACACUUGAUGAAUACCUAAAGCAUAUYAAGAAGGAUCUAGCAUUGGAUAGAUGAUUUCAACCCAUUAAGGACUCUUAAGGUGUCUGAGCCCUCUGUUGAUGAAACAAUACUGAUUUUGGAGGAUCUUUGAGAGCGAUAUAAAAUUCACCACAAGCUUCAGUAUACUGAUGAUGCUUUAGUUGCUGCAGCAAAGCUGUCCCCGCAAUAUAGUCAUUUUUGUCAAAAUGACAACUAAAUGGAUCAUGAUUAAUUUCAUUAGGCCCUAAUGGGUAAUGAUAGAACCAUUUCUCAA